AAAAGGAAUCUCCUAUUAAGUGAGAAAGCCUUAAGUUCAUAAAACUCUUGUAAUUUUGGUCUAGCCCCAUCUAAGCAACGGGGUAGGGGCCGAUUCGAUAAUCAAGGGUGUGAGACAUGGGAGGUCUUGCAUUUGCGGGGCUUGAAGUUUUCCAAGUCCGAGCUCGAUUAGUGAGCAAAGUACGCGUCAAGGAGAAAAAUGGCGUCUUCGAUGCCCAAAUCUCUAAGAAAAUCAGCGGCAGCAAUUAGCUCGUCAUCAUUUCUGAAUCAUCAGAUUUCUUCAACUUCAACAGUACCUUCUCUUCUCAAACCCAGAUUUCUUCAACUUCAACAGUAACCUAAUGCAGCAAAUGAAGAUAGAAAAAAAAAA